rnacentral:rRNA from 1 species
AAGGUUAAGCCUCACGGUUCAUUAGUACCGGUUAGCUCAACGCAUCGCUGCGCUUACACACCCGGCCUAUCAACGUCGUCGUCUUCAACGUUCCUUCAGGACCCUUAAAGGGUCAGGGAGAACUCAUCUCGGGGCAAGUUUCGUGCUUAGAUGCUUUCAGCACUUAUCUCUUCCGCAUUUAGCUACCGGGCAGUGCCAUUGGCAUGACAACCCGAACACCAGUGAUGCGUCCACUCCGGUCCUCUCGUACUAGGAGCAGCCCCCCUCAGUUCUCCAGCGCCCACGGCAGAUAGGGACCGAACUGUCUCACGACGUUCUAAACCCAGCUCGCGUACCACUUUAAAUGGCGAACAGCCAUACCCUUGGGACCUACUUCAGCCCCAGGAUGUGAUGAGCCGACAUCGAGGUGCCAAACACCGCCGUCGAUAUGAACUCUUGGGCGGUAUCAGCCUGUUAUCCCCGGAGUACCUUUUAUCCGUUGAGCGAUGGCCCUUCCAUUCAGAACCACCGGAUCACUAUGACCUGCUUUCGCACCUGCUCGCGCCGUCACGCUCGCAGUCAAGCUGGCUUAUGCCAUUGCACUAACCUCCUGAUGUCCGACCAGGAUUAGCCAACCUUCGUGCUCCUCCGUUACUCUUUAGGAGGAGACCGCCCCAGUCAAACUACCCACCAGACACUGUCCGCAACCCGGAUCACGGGUCCACGUUAGAACAUCAAACAUUAAAGGGUGGUAUUUCAAGGUCGGCUCCAUGCAGACUGGCGUCCACACUUCAAAGCCUCCCACCUAUCCUACACAUCAAGGCUCAAUGUUCAGUGUCAAGCUAUAGUAAAGGUUCACGGGGUCUUUCCGUCUUGCCGCGGGUACACUGCAUCUUCACAGCGAGUUCAAUUUCACUGAGUCUCGGGUGGAGACAGCCUGGCCAUCAUUACGCCAUUCGUGCAGGUCGGAACUUACCCGACAAGGAAUUUCGCUACCUUAGGACCGUUAUAGUUACGGCCGCCGUUUACCGGGGCUUCGAUCAAGAGCUUCGCUUGCGCUAACCCCAUCAAUUAACCUUCCGGCACCGGGCAGGCGUCACACCGUAUACGUCCACUUUCGUGUUUGCACAGUGCUGUGUUUUUAAUAAACAGUUGCAGCCAGCUGGUAUCUUCGACUGAUUUCAGCUCCACGAGCAAGUCGCUUCACCUACGUAUCAGCGUGCCUUCUCCCGAAGUUACGGCACCAUUUUGCCUAGUUCCUUCACCCGAGUUCUCUCAAGCGCCUUGGUAUUCUCUACCUGACCACCUGUGUCGGUUUGGGGUACGAUUUGAUGUUACCUGAUGCUUAGAGGCUUUUCCUGGAAGCAGGGCAUUUGUGCUUCAGCACCGUAGUGCCUCGUCAUCACGCCUCGGCCUUGAUUUUCCGGAUUUGCCUGGAAAACCAGCCUACACGCUUAAACCGGGACAACCGUCGCCCGGCCAACAUAGCCUUCUCCGUCCCCCCUUCGCAGUAACACCAAGUACAGGAAUAUUAACCUGUUUCCCAUCGACUACGCCUUUCGGCCUCGCCUUAGGGGUCGACUCACCCUGCCCCGAUUAACGUUGGACAGGAACCCUUGGUCUUCCGGCGAGCGGGCUUUUCACCCGCUUUAUCGUUACUUAUGUCAGCAUUCGCACUUCUGAUACCUCCAGCAUACCUCACAGCACACCUUCACAGGCUUACAGAACGCUCCCCUACCCAACAACGCAUAAGCGUCGCUGCCGCAGCUUCGGUGCAUGGUUUAGCCCCGUUACAUCUUCCGCGCAGGCCGACUCGACCAGUGAGCUAUUACGCUUUCUUUAAAUGAUGGCUGCUUCUAAGCCAACAUCCUGGCUGUCUGGGCCUUCCCACAUCGUUUCCCACUUAACCAUGACUUUGGGACCUUAGCUGGCGGUCUGGGUUGUUUCCCUCUUCACGACGGACGUUAGCACCCGCCGUGUGUCUCCCGUGAUAACAUUCUCCGGUAUUCGCAGUUUGCAUCGGGUUGGUAAGUCGGGAUGACCCCCUUGCCGAAACAGUGCUCUACCCCCGGAGAUGAAUUCACGAGGCGCUACCUAAAUAGCUUUCGGGGAGAACCAGCUAUCUCCCGGUUUGAUUGGCCUUUCACCCCCAGCCACAAGUCAUCCGCUAAUUUUUCAACAUUAGUCGGUUCGGUCCUCCAGUUAGUGUUACCCAACCUUCAACCUGCCCAUGGCUAGAUCACCGGGUUUCGGGUCUAUACCCUGCAACUUAACGCCCAGUUAAGACUCGGUUUCCCUUCGGCUCCCCUAUUCGGUUAACCUUGCUACAGAAUAUAAGUCGCUGACCCAUUAUCAAAAGGUACGCAGUCACACGCCUAAGCGUGCUCCCACUGCUUGUACGUACACGGUUUCAGGUCUUUUUCACUCCCCUCGCCGGGGUUCUUUUCGCCUUUCCCUCACGGUACUGGUUCACUAUCGGUCAGUCAGGAGUAUUUAGCCUUGGAGGAUGGUCCCCCCAUAUUCAGACAGGAUACCACGUGUCCCGCCCUACUCAUCGAGCUCACAGUAUGUGCAUUUUUGUGUACGGGGCUGUCACCCUGUAUCGCACGCCUUUCCAGACGCUUCCACUAACACACACACUGAUUCAGGCUCUGGGCUGCUCCCCGUUCGCUCGCCGCUACGUGGGGGAAUCUCGGUUGAUUUCUUUUCCUCGGGGUACUUAGAUGUUUCAGUUCCCCCGGUUCGCCUCAUUAACCUAUGGAUUCAGUUAAUGAUAGUGUGACGAAUCACACUGGGUUUCCCCAUUCGGAAAUCGCCGGUUAUAACGGUUCAUAUCACCUUACCGACGCUUAUCGCAGAUUAGCACGUCCUUCAUCGCCUCUGACUGCCAGGGCAUCCACCGUGUACGCUUAGUCGCUUAA